GCCCCCCAGCCGGCGGAGCAUGCGGAUUAAUUCGAUGCAACGCGAAGAACCUUACCAAGGCUUGACAUGUGCCGGACCGUCCCAGAGAUGGGGCUUCCCUUCGGGGCCGGUUCACAGGUGGUGCAUGGUUGUCGUCAGCUCGUGUCGUGAGAUGUUGGGUUAAGUCCCGCAACGAGCGCAACCCUCGUUCCAUGUUGCCAGCACUUCGGGUGGGGACUCAUGGGAGACUGCCGGGGUCAACUCGGAGGAAGGUGGGGACGACGUCAAAUCAUCAUGCCCCUUAUGUCUUGGGCUUCACGCAUGCUACAAUGGCCGGUACAAAGGGUUGCGAUACUGUGAGGUGGAGCCAAUCCCAGAAAGCCGGUCUCAGUUCGGAUUGGGGUCUGCAACUCGACCCCAUGAAGUCGGAGUCGCUAGUAAUCGCAGAUCAGCAACGCUGCGGUGAAUACGUUCCCGGGCCUUGUACACACCGCACGUAA
rnacentral:rRNA from 1 species